rnacentral:rRNA from 1 species
GGUGAACGUUGGCGGUGCGUCUAAUACAUGCAAGUCGAGCGCAUCUUCGGAUGAGCGGCGGACGGCUGAGUAACACGUUGGUAACUGCCCCAAACUCAGGGAUAACCUCGCUAAAGCGGGGCUAAUACCGGAUGAUCCCGUAAGGGUAAAGAUUUAUCGGUUUGGGAGGUGCCUGCGGCCUAUCAGCUUGUUGGUGGGGUGAUGGCCUACCAAGGCGACGACGGGUAGCCGGCCUGAGAGGGCGACCGGCCACACUGGGACUGAGACACGGCCCAGACUCCUACGGGAGGCAGCAGUGGGGAAUCUUGCGCAAUGGGCGAAAGCCUGACGCAGCGACGCCGCGUGAGGGAUGACGGCCUC